GGGGUGUUACAAGUAUGUUGUUGAUCAUAUACAAGAUUGUAAAAAAAUAUUGACUCGGCUUGGAAAAGUUCAUCUUACAUUAUCGGAUACAAAAUCUAUAUUUGGAGUACAAGAAGUUGUGAUUGUUGGACAUUUAUGUGGAUUUUAUAGAAGAAAACGAGAUCCGACUAAAGUUGAUGUGAUUGAGAGAAUGAAAGAGGAUUGUAGUUUUUUAACAAAGCUUCGCAAGUUUUUAGGUACAUGUGUAUUUUAUCAUAUUUGGAUUCUUCAUUAUACUCACAUAGCAGAUCCAUUGUAUGAACUGUUAUGCAAGGAUUAUUGAUUUAAAUGGAAAAAAAAAGCAUGUUAAAGCAAUGCAAAGAUUGAAGAAAUUAUUGAUAUCACUCUAGUAUUGAGAAAGAUUGAUUAUAAGUGCAAUAGACUAGUGAUUCUUACUGUAGAUACUAGUCCAAUUGC
rnacentral:lncRNA from 1 species